rnacentral:rRNA from 1 species
CGGGGGCAGCUACCAUGCAGUCGACGAUGACCACUUCGGUGGGGAUUAGUGGCGAACGGGUGAGUAACAGGGGGAAAUCUGCCCUGCACUCUGGGACAAGCCCUGGAAACGGGGUCUAAUACCGGAUACUGAUCCGUCUGGGCAUCCAGAUGGUUCGAAAGCUCCGGCGGUGCAGGAUGAGCCCCCGGCCUAUCAGCUUGUUGGUGAGGUAGGGGCUCACCAAGGCGACAACGGGUAGCCGGCCUGAGAGGGCGACCGGCCACACUGGGACUGAGACACGGCCCAAACUCCUACGGGAGGCAGCAGUGGGGAAUAUUGCACAAUGGGCGAAAGCCUGAUGCAGCGACGCCGCGUGAGGGAUGACGGCCUUCGGGUUGUAAACCUCUUUCAGCAGGGAAGAAGCGAAAGUGACGGUCCCUUCUUAAGAAGCGCCGGCUAACUACGUGCCAGCAGCCGCGGUAAUACGUAGGGCGCGAGCGUUGUCCGGAAUUAUUGGGCGUAAAGAGCUCGUAGGCGGCUUGUCACGUCGGUUGUGAAAGCCCGGGGCUUAACCCCGGGUCUGCAGUCGAUACGGGCAGGCUAGAGUUCGGUAGGGGAGAUCGGAAUUCCUGGUGUAGCGGUGAAAUGCG